GCACCCGUAGCUCACUGGAUAGAGCUCUUGAUUCGCAUUCAGAAGGUCGCGGGUUCGAGUCCCGCCGGGUGCA
rnacentral:tRNA from 1 species